GACGUAGGGCGCGAGCGUUGUCCGGAUUUAUUGGGCGUAAAGAGCUCGUAGGCGGUCUGUCGCGUCUGCUGUGAAAACUCAGGGCUUAACCCUGAGCUUGCAGUGGGUACGGGCAGACUAGAGUGCGGUAGGGGAGACUGGAAUUCCCGGUGUAGCGGUGAAAUGCGCAGAUAUCGGGAAGAACACCCGUGGCGAAGGCGGCUCUCUGGGACGGUACUGACGCUGAGACGCGAAAGCGUGGGGAGCGAACAGG
rnacentral:rRNA from 1 species